rnacentral:snoRNA from 1 species
UUCCUAGUCCUGAUGAAGCAUUUGCGGAUGUAAAUGAGACCUCAAAGAGGCUCGCUGUCCGAGAGCGCAUAAACCCCAUGUGGAUCUUUCCGUUGCCUUCCUUCUGAUUCCCAUU